CUGGGGACCCGGGCCGCGCGGGACCGGCCCUCGGCAGGAAGAGGCGCAUUUCACGCUCUGCGGAAGCGAGGUCUGCGACUGUCGCCCCUCUGGAAAAAGGCCAUUAAUCACAUUUUCUUCCUAGAAGCCAGCCAAUACCUAUUCUCGCCGCUGUAUAGGAAGGUGGCUUUCUAACUUGUUUUGGCCUUUUCAGAGCUUAUGCUACACGUAAUCAGUUCACUUGAAAGAACAGCACUUUAAAAUAAGAAGAAACAACAAAGUCUUACCUAGAGAGUAUUCCAAGGCAUUACUUAAAAAGGCGGUUCUAACGCUUUACGAGCCGACUGCAUCCUUUCCUCUUGCCGGAGUAGCAAGCACACUAAACAGGAAUUUCAUUUCUGAAGCCUAGCUUGAAAAAAUACGGAAGAUAUUCAGUGGGUCAUUCUAUUAAAAACCAAAAUCAAAAAGGAACUGCUGCAGCACACACUGGUAUUCCCAGCUACCAAGGAGGACUGCUUGAGCUGAGCCCUGAAAUCCACAGCCAGCCCAUGGUGGUGCUGAUGAUUAAACCCAGAGCCUCCUCACGAAAGGAUGUCAAGGUUGAAUAAAUUCUGGGCUUGGUGGCACCCAAACAGGCGUGAUGCUGAGGCGGGAUUGCUGUGAGUUUCAGGCCAGCCUGGGCUACACAGUGAGUUCAA